AACACAGGUAAAGACUGUUAAAAGAUGAAAUUAAACAAUGAAAGAUAGUGCAUAAUAAAAUCAACAAUACAACAAGGGUUCAG